GGAGGAGUAGCGAGAGUGGCUAAACGCGACGGACUGUAAAUCCGUUCCUUAGGGUUCAGUGGUUCGAAUCCACUCUCCUCCA
rnacentral:tRNA from 1 species